rnacentral:rRNA from 1 species
UACGUAGGGUGCAAGCGUUAAUCGGAAUUACUGGGCGUAAAGCGUGCGCAGGCGGUUCGCUAAGACCGAUGUGAAAUCCCCGGGCUUAACCUGGGAACUGCAUUGGUGACUGGCGAACUGGAGUGUGGCAGAGGGGGGUGGAAUUCCGCGUGUAGCAGUGAAAUGCGUAGAGAUGCGGAGGAACACCGAUGGCGAAGGCAGCCCCCUGGGCUAACACUGACGCUCAGGCACGAAAGCGUGGGGAGCAAACAGG